CGCGAUAGGUCACUACUUCUGGAAUGGGUAAUGACUCAAACCUAUAUGGCCCCUGGAUUGGACUGCGGCCGAUCAGGCUGUUGGUGAGGUAAUGGCCCACCAAACCUGUAACCGGUACGGGCUCUGAGAGGAGGAGCCCGGAGAUGGGCACUGAGACAAGGGCCCAGGCCCUAUGGGGCGCAGCAGGCGCGAAACCUCUGCAAUAGGCGAAAGCCUGACAGGGUUACUCUGAGUGAUCUCCGUUAAGGAGAUCUUUUGGCACCUCUAAAAAUGGUGCAGAAUAAGGGGUGGGCAAGUCUGGUGUCAGCCGCCGCGGUAAUACCAGCACCCCGAGUGGUCGGGACGUUUAUUGGGCCUAAAGCAUCCGUAGCCGGUUCUACAAGUCUUCCGUUAAAUCCAGCUGCUUAACAGAUGGGCUGCGGAAGAUACUAUGGAGCUAGGAGGCGGGAGAGGCAAGCGGUACUCGAUGGGUAGGGGUAAAAUCCGUUGAUCCGUUGAAGACCACCAGUGGCGAAGGCGGCUUGCCAGAACGCGCUCGACGGUGAGGGAAGAAAGCUGGGGGAGCAAACCGGAUUAGAUACCCGGGUAGUCCCAGCUGUAAACGAUGCAGACUCGGUGAUGAGUUGGCUACAUGCCAUCUCAGUGCCGCAGGGAAGCCGUUAAGUUUGCCGCC
rnacentral:rRNA from 1 species